rnacentral:antisense_RNA from 1 species
CCUCAGCGUACAUGCCAGCUAAUUACAGAUGCAGGAGCAAACCCCUGGCCCAUACAUCAGUUGGGUGUGGUGACUCACACCUGCAAUCCCAGCACUUUGGGAGGCUGAGGAGAGCAGAUCACUUGAGGCCAGGAGUUCGAGACCAGUCUGGGCAACAUAAUGGAGUUUCGCUCUUGUUGCCCAGGCUGGAGAGCAACGGCACAAUCUCAGCUCACCGCAACCUCCGCCUCCCGAGUUCAAGCAAUUCUCCUGCCUCAGCCUCCUGAGUAGCUGGAAUUACAGGAUUUUGGAAGCAUUGCCUUCUACAGAAUCCACAGUAGUCCGAAGUUCUUCUACGGUUUUUGUCAAACUUUGAUUUUCCAUCUCUAGCUUCAAUAAUCUACUUGAUGUCAACUCAUUCACCUCAUGG